AUGAUUAUCUACAGGGACCUCAUCAGCCAUGAUGAGAUGUUCUCCAACAUUUACAAGAUCCGAGAGAUUGUGGAAGGCCUAUGCUUGGAGGUGGAGGGGAAGAUGGUCAGUAGGACAGAGGGUAACAUUGAUGACUCGCUCAUUGGUGCAAAUGCUUCUGCUGAAGGACCUGAGGGUGAAGGUACCAAAAGCACAGUUAUCACUGGUGUUGAUAUUGUCAUGAACCAUCACUUGCAGGAAACCAGCUUCACAAAAGAAGCCUACAAGAAGUACAUCAAAGAUUACAUGAAGUCAAUCAAAGGAAACUUGAAGAACAGAGACCAUAAAGAGUAAAACCUUUUAUGACAGGGACUGCAGAACAAAUCAAGCACAUCCUGGCUAAUUUCAAAAACUACCAGUUCUUUAUUGGUGAAAACAUGAAUCCAGAUGGAAUGGUUGCUCUUCUGGACUACCAUGAGAAUGGUGUGACCCCAUAUAUGAUUUUCUUUAAGGAUGGUUUAGAAAUGGAAAAAUGUUAACAAAUUUGGCUAUUACUUUGGAUCUAUCACCUGUCAUCAUAACUGGCUGCUGCUUGUCAUCCACACAACACCAGGACUUAAGACAAACGGGACUGAUGUCAUCUUGAGCUCUUCAUUUA